AGAGAGGUGUCUGUAUUAGAGAGGUGUCUGUAUUAGAGAGGUAUCUGUAUUAGAGAGGUGUCUGUAUUAGAGAGGUAUCUGUAUUAGAGAGGUGUCUGUAUUAGAGAGGUGUCUGUAUUAGAGAGGUGUCUGUAUUAGAGAGGUGUCUGUAUUAGAGAGGUGUCUGUAUUAGAGAGGUGUCUGUAUUAGAGAGGUGUCUGCAUUAGAGAGGUGUCUGUAUUAGAGAGGUGUCUGUAUUAGAGAGGGGUCUGUAUUAGAGAGGGGUCUGUAUUAGAGAGGUGUCUGUAUUAGAGAGGUGUCUGUAUUAGAGAGGUGUCUGUAUUAGAGAGGUGUCUGUAUUAGAGAGGUGUCCAUAU
rnacentral:lncRNA from 1 species